UAACUUCGGGAAACCGGAGCUAAUACCGGAUAAUAUUUUGUAACCGCAUGGUUCAAAAGUAGAAAGACGGUCUUGCUGUCACUUAUAGAUGGAUCCGCGCUGCAUUAGCUAGUUGGUAAGGUAACGGCUUACCAAGGCAACGAUGCAUAGCCGACCUGAGAGGGUGGAUCGGCCACACUGGAGCUGAGACACGGUCCAG
rnacentral:rRNA from 1 species